UAUGGUCAUAUCUUGUUAAAACAUCUGUUCUCGAACGAGCACCGAAGUUAAGCAACGUCGAAACUGGUCAGUACUUAGAUGGGUGACCGCUUAGGAAUACUAGGGG